rnacentral:rRNA from 1 species
AUUCCUACGGGAGGCAGCAGUGGGGAAUAUUGCGCAGUGGGCGGAAGCCUGACGCAGCAACGCCGCGUGAGGGAUGACGGCCUUCGGGUUGUAAACCUCUUUCAGCAGGGAAGAAGCGAAAGUGACGGUACCUGCAGAAGAAGCACCGGCUAACUACGUGCCAGCAGCCGCGGUAAUAAU